CUCAUCUUCAAUUACAAUGUGGUUCCUACAAAGUAAAGGGCUGUUGUCCUCUCUUCAGACCUGUGCUGCUUCUGCGCACUAGCCCUGUAGACCAUCAAGGCCUAAAAGUAGCUGCUGGAUUCAAUGAGACAUGAAGCUGACAGAAAUGGCAUCAAGCUAAUUGGCAACAAACUCUAUGAAACCUACUCAGGAAAUCAUAUUUUUAAGCUGAACACCAAGUGGAUUCUUGUUUGAAUAGUCCAUUUCUAAGAAGAUGUGGUUCGAACAUACAGAGCUACAUAAUAUGAGUAAAAUAGGACCUAACAGUAGUGUUCUCCAGCAUUGCUCUGCCUUUCCUUUUCUGGAUGUAACAACAUUACUAAGAAAGGAAGAAAAAGCAAAAAUCUGCUCUCGGGGAGAUUCCAGCAUGUUGGAAAGCCCCAAAUGGAAGUCUCUGCUUUGGUUACAGGACAUAAGGUUUAAUAAAUAAAAAGAUGCUCAUCUGGGAUGCUGCACCAAUUAUCAUGUACUAAAUAAGGUUACCUAAUUCACUCUCCAGGUAGAAAUGUCUAUCAUAAGCAUGUGCCACAGAAGGUCUCACAAGUAUCAUU
rnacentral:antisense_RNA from 1 species